rnacentral:lncRNA from 10 species
CUGGUACAUCGGGCUGAUGACCGGGACCACCUCGGAACCGCCCGGGGGCGUCUGCACCAGCGGGCGCAGGGACUCGGCCCCCAGGGCUGCAGAAGCUGUGACACAUUGGGAGUGACUGAUGGAAAUCUCAUCAAGUUGAAGCGGGGGUAAGGUGAGAAGAUUGAGGCCUGGAGGAAUCGCCUGUAAGCCCCAGAUCCCUGGCUGACUGGCAGAGGAGACAGCACUCUGGCUGCAGGGCUCUGGCCAGGUGAACAGAAGCUACAGUAAGAAGACCAACAUGAAAGCCAAAAUUUGACUUCUCGACCAUUUAAUAG